rnacentral:tRNA from 1 species
GCGCUUGUGGCGGAAUUGGCAGACGCGCUACUUUGAGGUGGUAGUGGGGCAACCCGUGCAGGUUCAAGUCCUGCCAAGCGCACCA